CGCAUCGCCGGCCCCCAUCCG
rnacentral:siRNA from 1 species